GAGUAACGCGUGGGUAACCUGGCCCAUACAGGGGGAUAACACUUAGAAAUAGGUGCUAAUACCGCAUAACAACAGAAAGCGCAUGCUUUUUGUUUGAAAACCAAGGUGGUAUGGGAUGGACCCGCGUCUGAUUAGCUGGUUGGCGGGGUAAAGGCCCACCAAGGCGACGAUCAGUAGCCGGCCUGAGAGGGUGGACGGCCACAUUGGGACUGAGACACGGCCCAAACUCCUACGGGAGGCAGCAGUGGGGAAUAUUGCACAAUGGGGGAAACCCUGAUGCAGCGACGCCGCGUGAGUGAAGAAGUAAUUCGUUAUGUAAAGCUCUAUCAGCAGGGAAGAAAAUGACGGUACCUGAGUAAGAAGCCCCGGCUAACUACGUGCCAGCAGCCGCGGUAAUACGUAGGGGGCAAGCGUUAUCCGGAUUUACUGGGUGUAAAGGGAGCGUAGACGGCAGUGCAAGUCUGGAGUGAAAGGCGGGGGCUCAACCCCCGGACUGCUCUGGAAACUGUACGGCUGGAGUGCAGGAGAGGUAAGUGGAAUUCCUAGUGUAGCGGUGAAAUGCGUAGAUAUUAGGAGGAACACCAGUGGCGAAGGCGGCUUACUGGACUGUAACUGACGUUGAGGCUCGAAAGCGUGGGGAGCAAACAGGAUUAGAUACCCUGGUAGUCCACGCCGUAAACGAUGAUCACUANGUGU
rnacentral:rRNA from 1 species